AUUGAACGCUGGCGGCAGGCCUAACACAUGCAAGUCGAGCGGAUGAAGGGAGCUUGCUCCUGGAUUCAGCGGCGGACGGGUGAGUAAUGCCUAGGAAUCUGCCUGGUAGUGGGGGAUAACGUCCGGAAACGGGCGCUAAUACCGCAUACGUCCUGAGGGAGAAAGUGGGGGAUCUUCGGACCUCACGCUAUCAGAUGAGCCUAGGUCGGAUUAGCUAGUUGGUGGGAUAAAGGCCUACCAAGGCGACGAUCCGUAACUGGUCUGAGAGGAUGAUCAGUCACACUGGAACUGAGACACGGUCCAGACUCCUACGGGAGGCAGAAGUGGGAAAUAUUGGACAAUGGGCGAAAGCCUGAUCCAGCCAUGCCGCGUGUGUGAAGAAGGUCUUCGGAUUGUAAAGCACUUUAAGUUGGGAGGAAGGGCAGUAAGUUAAUACCUUGCUGUUUGGACGUUACCAACAGAAUAAGCACCGGCGAACUGCGU
rnacentral:rRNA from 1 species